rnacentral:rRNA from 1 species
AGCAGCCGCGGUAAUUCCAGCUCCAAUAGCGUAUAUUAAAGUUGCUGCAGUUAAAAAGCUCGUAGUUGAAUUUCGGGACCAAUAUGUUGGUCGUGCCUCGGUACGUACUGGCAUCGUUGGUUUCUCCCUUCUGACGAACCAUGAUGUCAUUUAUUUGGUGUCGUGGGGAAUCAGGACUGUUACUUUGAAAAAAUUAGAGUGUUUAAAGCAGGCUCACGCUUGAAUACAUUAGCAUGGAAUAAUGAAAUAGGACGUUUGGUUCUAUUUUGUUGGUUUCUAGGAUCGACGUAAUGAUUAAUAGGGAUAGUUGGGGGCAUUAGUAUUCAAUUGUCAGAGGUGAAAUUCUUGGAUUUAUUGAAGACUAACUACUGCGAAAGCAUUUGCCAAGGAUGUUUUCAUUAAUCAAGAACGAAAGUUAGGGGAUCGAAGACGAUCAGAUACCGUCGUAGUCUUAACCAUAAACUACGCCGACUAGGGAUCGGAUGAUGUUAAUUUUUAAUGACUCAUUCGGCGCCUUACG